rnacentral:lncRNA from 1 species
UAUAACUGAAAGAAACUAAUCUCCUUUUCUCUAUCAUAUUUUUUAGCUCCUAGAGAAAGAUUUUCAUUGGCCCAGCGUGGGUCAGGGGAGCUUCCUCAAUCAAAGGUGGAGAAACUCCAGGACCAGCCAGCCUGGUGCACCUGCGUUACAACAACAAAACCAACGACUUGAUGGAUGUAGGGAGCAAGUAUGCAGGAAUGUUAGUCCCUGGGGAGAAAUGCAGAACAAGUAUUGGAUGAGUACACUCCAGCUGGGAAGAAUGCUAUUUGUCUUUCAUGAUGAGAGUCCUAGCCAUUGGUGAACUCCCAGGAGUGAAGGUAAGAGCCUCUUUACUUUUCUGCCUGGAUCUCCCAGGAGCACAGGGAAUGUCUUACACAAGUCAAUUUCCCAUUUGAUGGAACGCCAGUUCUUGGUUUAUAAGCUGCAUCAAAGGAUUGCCAUGGGAAGUAAUCAUUACAUUCAAGAG